rnacentral:rRNA from 1 species
AUACGGAGGGUGCAAGCGUUACUCGGAAUCACUGGGCGUAAAGCGCGCGCAGGCGGGCUGAUAAGUUGGAUGUGAAAGCCUACGGCUCAACCGUAGAACUGCAUCCAAAACUGUCAGCCUAGAGUCUGGGAGGGGAAGAUGGAAUUAGUUGUGUAGGGGUAAAAUCCGUAGAGAUAACUAGGAAUACCAAAAGCGAAGGCGAACUUCUGGAACAGUACUGACGCUGAGGCGCGAAAGCGUGGGGAGCAAACAGGAUUAGAUACCCUAGUAGUCC